UGGAAGAUUUCCUGAAUUUCCUUUUACAAAUCCUUUCCCAGUCAUUUUCAAUGAUCAGCGCAAAACAAUCCACACAACUCACACAUAUCAAUCAGAAGGCUGCAGGGAGGUUGAGCAGCGUUGAUGUCAUAAUCACCUCGGCCAAUGGGAGAGCAUGUUGUUUUGUCAAGAAAAUGCGAAUCUUUAAACAGGUUUUUAAAACAAGCUACUUCACGUAGGAUGGAAAAAACCCACAAAACUACCUAAUACAGCACAAUUUGUCGAUGCAAGGCACUGGAAAGCCCCAGCUAAACUCUCCAAAACCAAGUGAUUGAGAGAAGUUUGGGAUAUAGCAGAUUCCAUAAAACAUGCUAUAGCUGGAGGUUGGUGACAAAUUAUAGAUCAAGACUAACCAGUAAUGAAAACACUGGAAAACAACUAAAAACAGGAGUCAAAGGAGCAUGAAGAACUCAUGGAGAUCCCCACUGUCUCUUGCUCACUCCGAGGAACACAGGACACCGUCUUAUACCGAGUCAGACCAUUGGUCCACCUGGCUAAGUACUGUCUACACUGACUGGCAGUGGAUCUUCAUGCUUUCAGGCAAGAGUCUUUCCCAGCCCUACCAGGAGAUGCCAGGGGGUGAAAUUGGGAGCUUCUGCUCUUCCGCUGAGCAAUGGGAUGCUCUCCCAGUGAAUCUCUGCUCUCUGUGGCUGCUUUAAAAAACAACCAAAGACCUUUUCAUUUGUUCAGGCUUUUGCCCCUUAGGAGCUACCAGGUCUCUCAGCUCUCUUGCUUCUGUUUGUCUUUUUUAUGGUCGGGUUUUUGGGGUUUUAUGGUUUUUAAUGUUUAAUGGAUUUUAAGGUUUUAAAUGUGAUUUUUACAGAG